rnacentral:rRNA from 1 species
GUACUGUGCAAACGUUAUUCGGAAUCACUGGGCUUAAAGGGUGCGUAGGCGGCUAUUCAAGUCGGAUGUGAAAUCUCUCGGCCUAACCGAGGAAUUGCGUUCGAAACUGAAUGGCUUGAGUGAGAUAGGGGUGUGCGGAACUUCCAGUGGAGCGGUGAAAUGUGUUGAUAUUGGAAGGAACGCCGGUGGCGAAGGCGGCACACUGGGUCUCAACUGACGCUGAGGCACGAAAGCCAGGGGUAGCGAACGGGAUUAGAUACCCCGGUAGUCCUGGCUGUAAACGAUGAGUACUAGACGGGAGGAAUUUCGGUUUCUCCGGUCGCAGCGAAAGCAAUAAGUACUCCGCCUGGGGAGUAUGGUCGCAAGGCUG